GUGCGGGCCCUGUGCAACGAAGCGCCGUGAACCAUGUCAGGCGGGGAACCGAGCAGCAUUAAGCGGUUGUUUUCGUGUGCCGCAGCAAGCCUGCACACC
rnacentral:SRP_RNA from 1 species